rnacentral:tRNA from 3 species
GCCCUAGAAGCUCAACACGCCAGAGCACCGGUUUUGUAAUCCGGAAGUUGGGGGUUAAAAUCCUCCCUAGCGCU